UCUCCUUCUUGCCCUCAAGUUGCCGCCAUUUUGUCCUGAAAUUUGUAGUAAGGUACAAGCUUUGUUAACAAUUGGCGUAAUUUAAACAUUCAAUGAUAUUUAAAUUAAAUUAACCUUGAAAAAUAAGAGUUUCCUACAGAGUUGUUGGUUAUCGACCCGUAGGGCUAUAGAAAUGGACGGACCUAGACCUCCAUUCCGUGGAGGUUUCCGCGGUGGACGCGGAGGUCCACCGGGUCCGAAUCCGAGAGGAAGGGGUGGUUUCGAUAUGCGUGGACGUGGUGGCCCUGGAAUGCGAGGGCGUGGAGGACCCCCAACGCGUGGGAUGUCUCGUGGAUUCCGUGGCGGACCCAUGCGUGGUGGUGGUGGUGGUGGCGAAAGAGGCGGACGUUUCCCGCCUGGGCCACAAGGACCAGGUCCCCAUCCAGUGCCUACAAUUGAAUCUAGAGGAAUUCCUGCACAAAUUCAUUCGUCAGGAGGUGGUUUCAACAGGGGUGGGCCAGGUGGCAUGAGGGGCAGAGGAGGCAGAGGCAGAGGCGACUUUGGUCCACGAAAUGAUAGAGGUGGCCGUGGAGGAAUGGGAAUGAGAGGUCGUGGAGGCCGCGGUGGAAUUGGUGGACCACCAGGUGGUCCUCCCACAGGGCCCCCUGGACCUCACCCAGGUGUUGGGCCAGUGGGGCCUCCUGCAGGGCCUGGCGGGCCGCCAAACAUGGCACCAAGGCCAGCACCUGUACCACACCAACCAUCUGGAGCACCACCCGGCCAACAAGGACCUCCAUUCAAGAGAGGAGGUGGACCACCCCAUGGUGGACCUGGAGGUCCACCUAAACGUGGAAGGUUUGAUGGACCACGAGGAGGGGGUGGUGGCAGACCUCCACCAUCAGGAUAUCAAGCGCCUCCACCUCACAAUGCCCCUCCAGCUAAUGGAUAUGGACCUCCAUCACACACAGGCUACCAACCUUACGAGCCACCAGCAGCAGAUCCUUAUGGACAGCCAUCUUACAACACUGGAAGUUCAUAUCAAAGUAACAACUAUUCUGCACCUGCACCAGCCCAGUCUAACACGGGAUACAAUUCCGGUUAUGGAUCGGGAUCUGGAUAUGGGUAUUCCACAGGUGGUCAAGGAGGCUACGAAAAUGAGUAUGGGGGUGGUGCGGGAGGCGCGGGCGACGCGGGCUAUGGCGCGGCCGAGCCGUCGUAUGGCGGCGGCGGCCCCCCGCCCGCGUACGAGUCGUACCCGCAACCCGCGUACAACUCAUACCAGCAACAACAACCACAAUAUAACAACAGCUAUGACUAUGGAUAAUAUGAGUGAUAAGACACUUUUGGUGUAGAGAAACAUUUGGCAAUCACCUUACUGAGUCUGAGUUCCUGGUACGCUGGAAUGGAUAAAGAGAUUCAGCGUUCGGGCCGUUUGGCAGAGAAAAAAUAGUUUUAAAUAAAAGACAACAAUA
rnacentral:misc_RNA from 1 species